UUUAACAAACUCCUUGAUGUUGCAGUUAAAUUAAAGCUGAUCAAAGUGCAGAUGAUCACUCAGCUCUCAGCAGAAGUCCGUGCGCCGGAGUGCCUGUUGGGAGCGCGCACCAGCUGGGCAGAACCCGAGCCGUGCGCGUUCGCGGCGAAAGCGUGCGCGCUCAAACCUCAAGCCUCUGAAGCUGAAGCUUUGCUUGACUGACUUCGGCGUGAACCCUUUUCCGGUGAAAACCAGAGUGCCAUUUCCAACCUUUGAGGUCUUCAGAGGACGUGAGGUUUACAGAUCCAGAGUGCAGAGCCGUUCCACAUGGCUGGUCUUUCAAUAAGGAGUCCAGGAUUAAACUCUAUUGGGAUUUCUGUGCUGCUCCUGGUCAUCCUCUUUCAAGUCUUGCUGCUGCACUUUCCUGGUGUCUUCAAUCAAAUCUUUUGUGAAAAGCAAUCAACAUGGUGAACUAAUUUGUAGUCAAAGGCAAUGGUCAGAUUACUCUGGUCAGAAAAUGUAACGGUAUUGAAACGAUACUCGUUCUUUUUUUUUAUGUUCCAAUCGUGCUUGUGGCCUUUGCCGUGCUCUGCAUGCUGUUAGCUGCUUACGCCAAAGACAGAACAACACUCCAGUGCGGCAUGGUCUGCCAGGCAGCAUCAGCCCUGCUCACUCUGGGAGGCAUCAUUAUGUUUGUGGCAUAUUUUCACUCCUACUUGACACUUUGGUUUUAUUUGUGUGUUGGUGUGGAGGUACAGUUGAUUGUCACAACUGUACUUACAAGGGUUUUAGGACAGAAGCUGACUUCUGACUGGAAAUAAAUGGAUUCAAGCUGCACCAGAUUCCACAGGUUCACAAGGUUAAGUUUAUUUUAUUUGUGUUGUCUGUGUUAAAAUCAUAUUGCUAAUGUAUAUUAUUACCUAUGCUUGAAAUUAUUUACUUUAGUAGAUCAAGUUUAUUUUUACUGCUGUACCAAUGAGAUGUCUGGACAAACUCAUUUGUAAGAGGAUAAGAAUGUAAGAAUGAAAAUGUGACAAAAAAAAAAAUCAAAGCCAUUAUCAGUGUUAUACCUGCAAAUGUUAAAUGUCAUAAACUGUGUUUAUAAAAAAAAAAAAUCCUGAA